UUCUUCUUCUUCGUAUACACUGCCGCCAACAACCAUUUCAUCUUCCUUCUUCUCGCCUCGACCACGAUCGUUACAAUGGUUGUCUAAGAAAACUGAGACCACAUUCGUGAUCAUUGUGAUCUCCUCUUUCAUUCUCAACCUAAAUCGUAAAUUGAAACGUCUUAUUUCUCUUUGUCAAAAAUCACACCUCCACCUUUUGAUCAAGAUUCCGGCCACCACGACCAUCACCAAUGAAAACUGAGACCAUAUUUGGACUCCACAAAACACCCUCUUCCAUUACCUAUGCUUCAAAUCGCC
rnacentral:lncRNA from 1 species